rnacentral:lncRNA from 1 species
ACUGAUCAACGUCAUCACUUGAUCUACAUGAAUCAUCCCUUCCGGAGAAACUUGAAGUUCUUGAGCUGGAGCCUUCUCGAUUUCAACUGGUUGUUGCUUUGUGGAUGUCUCGACUUCGUCUUGAACCUCUAUUUGAUUCUCCACAGCUUGACUAGCAUCGGCUUUGUCCAUCUUGUUGAUCAACUCGGCAAUUUGAGAAUCUCGUUGUUGAACAUGCUUUGCGAGUCCCUCAAUAGCCUUGGUCAAACUUGCAAUUUGCUCUUCCAUAGUUGUAGCGUUUGUUGUCAUGACGGAUGCCAUCUCUGAGUAGCUUGAUGUUGAAUGAGGCAUGGGCUGUGACAUCUCUCGUUUUGAGCCUUCCACGUCUGCGCUUGUGUUGACAAGAGGUGGUAAGCCUUU